rnacentral:lncRNA from 1 species
UUGGGAUGGCAAACCGCGUUGAAGGACGGGCUUUUGGAGGUUGGAGAGUUUCCUUACAACGGUUUCACGUACGAUCAUAUCAACGGGACCAAGAUCGGUGAUACAAUCUUUGAUGAUGCCGGUCAAAGACAUACGGCGGCGAACCUGUUGGAGUAUUCUAAUCCGAACAGCAUUGCUGUCUAUUUGCAUGCUACUGUUCACAAGAUCCUCUUCACCACCAAAGGUAUUUGAUUUUUUUUUUUCUUUUGAGAAAAGGGUAUUUGAUUGUUCUACACCACUUGUUCUUUCUUUCUUUCUGUUCUUUGGAUUAUAAGGGAACAAACUCCAGUUACUUUGCUUUGUUUUGGCUUAAACAUUUCGCACGGCCGGAAGUUAUAGUUUGACUAUGGACAAAACUUAGGUUAUUUAAAUUCACCGACCCUUUCAUAACCAAUCAAAAUCCCAACAAGAUUAUUACCAAAAAUAUUAAUUAUUUUUUAAAAAAAUCAAAAAUAAUUGAAAAAAGAAAAUGAUGCCAAUAACAAAACCCUAAAUUAAACUCUAAACCCUAAAUCUUGAACCCAAACUCUAAACCCUAAAUCCUAUACCCAAGCUCUAGAUCAUAAACCCAAACCCUAUACCCUAAACCCAAAUCCUAAACCAUAAACCCUAAACCCAAAUUUUAUAUCCUAAACCUGAAUCAUAGACCCUAAACCCAAACCGUAAACCCUAAACCCAAAAGGUUUGAAUUUUGAGUUUAAGGUUUACAGUUUGGUUUAGGGUCUAGGAUUUGGGUUUGGGUUUAGAGUUUACGGUUUAGGUUUAUGGUCUAGGAUUUGGGUUUACAGUUUGGGUUUAGGGUUUAGGAUUUGGGUUUAUAGUAUAGGGUUUGGGUUUAGGGUUUACUAUUUGGGUUUAGUAUUUAGGGGUUAGAUUUAGAUUUAGGGUUUAGAAUUUAAGAUUUAGGGUUUUGUUAGACAUCAUUUUUUUAACUAUUUUAAAUUUUUUAAAUAAAAUAAUAUUUUUUAUUAAUUAUCUAGGUGGCGCUUUGAUUGGUGAUAAGAGAGGUGGUGAAUUUAAAGGUUCACCAUAGGGGGUGACCUAAGUUUUGUCUUGGACAAAAUUUAGGGUUUAGAGUUUAGGUUUAUGAUUUAGGGUUUUUGGUUUUGUUAGUGGCAUCAUUUUCUUUUUUCAAUUAUUUUUGAUUUUUUUUUUAAAUAAUAUUUUUAUUAAUUAACUAGGUGACAAUUUGAUUAGUUAUAAAAAUGUGGUGAAUUUAAAGGUUCACCCUAAGAAGUGAACCUAAGUUUUGUCCUUUGACAAUAUAGGGGCUAUUCAACCUAUAAAAAAGAACUUUAUAAAAUUUGGGAGCCAAGUCAAAUGUUUCUUGUGUCCUAGAACUGGUGAGUUCAGUUUCUAUCAAUGUUUAUAAACCCGACCCGGACACUGAACCAGACGACUUACCGGGUUGUUGGGUAACUGGAUCGACCGAGGGUGAACCACGUGUAAAUAAAUGAAUUAAUUUUAUUAUAUAAUAAUAUAUCAACUAUGUAAAUACAAAUAUAGAAACUAAAGUUUUAAUAUUUUCUAAACGUUUUUUAAAACAUAAAAUAAUAGUUUGGAUAUGUAUAUAUUUUAUGUUUAAAAACAUUUAUAAAUUACGUAACUUUAGUUUUUAUAUUUUUAUUUUCAUUUGACAUACAAAAUUUUGAAAAAUAGUUUAGACUAUUUAAAAUUUUCUCAAACAAGGUAAGAGAUAUGACAUCUAAAAAAAUCAAGACAUAAAAUAUAUAAAUAUUUAAAUGUCUAAUAUGAAUAAUAAAUUAAACUUCAAAUACAAAAUAAAACAAAAGUAAAAGAUCAUUGUAAUAAAUUGUCAAUAAUGAAAAUAAACUAACACCAAAUCAAAUCAACUAAUUUUGGUUCACUCUACCAUUGUUCACUUCAUUUUCUUCAGGUGGCAUAGUGAAACUUACAUCAAAAUCUAAAAAUCACAAAUAUAAAACUGAAAAGGGAAAACCUAACUUUUUUUUUCAACCAUCAGCUAAUUUCUUAAUUGGAAAUUUAGAAUAGAAAACAUAAUCUAAAAACAUAAUUAAAAACUAAAAAGAAGUAAAAGUUAUUUAUUGGUUCAACCGGUGGUUCAACCGGUAUCGGGUUCCGGGUUUUACUGGAGUUUUGCGGGUUUUUAAAUAUUGGGUUUUUCAAAAAACCCAAACCAGAUUUUUUCUGGGUCACCGGGUUUACCGGUUCAACCGCGGGUCCGGGUCGGAUUUCAAAACACUAGUUUCGAUCUAGAUAUUUUGCUGUAGAAUAUAAACCGUAUGUUUAGAAUUUUUUUUUUUUUGCUGUGGAUUAUAAGUUGUAAGUUUUAGUAAUGUAGUUAUAGAAACUGGAUUGUGAAUUUUUAGUUGUAUAUAGCCAAUUAAAUAUUAAGUUGUAAUUAAUUCAAAAUUAGAGCCAGAAUGAUAAAGAUUAAUAAGCUCAAAUAUAAUUUUUAGUUUCUAUUUUAAAUGAUUAUCCUAAAUAGAUAUAAGUCGUAUAUGAUAUUUUAUCAAUGAAUGUGAAAUUUAUAUUAAUGUGCUAUACAUAAUCUUUACAAAGUAAUUAUAAUAUUCUAGUCAUAUAUGUACAUAUAUUUUGUAUAUAUAUUGUAAAUAUACAGUAAAAACUCUAUAAAUUAAUAAUGUCGGGACUAUGGAAUUUUAUUAAUUUAAAAAAUGUUUUUUUUUCUAUUUUUCUAUUUUUUAUAAAAUAAGAAAAUAUUUGAUUUUACCAUAUAUACAUUAAUUAAAUUUUAGAAAUUUAACUUUCAUAUUGUUUUUAUAUUAUUUGGUGUAUAUUUUUAUGUUUCAUAGAAUUUAUGUGGUUUUUGAUAUAAUUUUAAUAAAUAUUAUAAAAAUAUGUUGAAAUGUUAAGAAAAAUAAAAGUAUUUUCACUGUGAAUAUAAAACCAACAAUAUAAUGUUUAGUUUGUAUUUAUAUAAAAUGUAUAUAUACAUAUAUUAUUAAAUUAUGUUUUUAAUGGGACCAUAUAUUUGCAUAAGACUUUCUAAAAAAAUUAUUAUCUUAUUAUUUUAUCAAUUUGUGUCAUAUUUUGAAUCGGGAGCGACCUAGCAUAGCCGCUCCAAGAGGUCGCUCCCGACGCGUUUCUUCGUGUCUCGCCCCAUCAAAACAUGGCACUGCACUCAUGGGUAAGAAUCAUCAUGCCUUCCAUCUCCUUCUUCUUUGCAGUUACAAUAUCUUUCAGGAACCUGUUGUAUUGAGGAAUCAACACUUGGUGUGUCGCUCUGGGAAAGUCGCUUCGGGAUGUGGUGCACAGCGACUUCAUGAAGUCGCUCCAGGCAGUGCUCGUCCAAAGAUCACUCUAAUCACCUCCUUUGAGCUCCAAAUGCACCCAAAUGUCUCCAGGGACUCCAUGUGGUACUCCAAUACCUAAUAGAGACAUAUGUAUGUAAAAUGCAACCUAGACAUGGCUAAAUCCUAAUCUAUAUGAUGAAAAUGCACAUGAAUAAAUGGAUAAAACAAUGUAAAUAUGCAAGAUAUCAGAACUCGGGACCAAAAUAUUUUUUUCAAUUUCAUAGUGUUUAUUAAUUUAUAGAGUAUUAAUUUAUAGAAUUUCUAUGAUUAUUAUUUAUUAGAGAGAAAGAAAAAUAUUUGUCAAAGAAAGAAAAGAUCUAUUCUCAAAGUACUUGAAAUAAUGUUUUUAGAAAGUUAUUUUUCAAAAACGUAGAUUUGUGAAAGAACUAAUUAUGGCGGCUGUAGUUUAAUAAAAAAAAUUACAGCUUGAUUGCUGUAAUUUUAGUACUGUGGAAGGAAACAAAGUUGUGCACAGCAGCGACGGCUCUCACCAAUCAUCGCCUAUGUUUUGGGCAGGAAGGCCAAGGCCAAAAGCAUACGGAGUGAUAUUUCAAGACGCAAAUGGACUGUUACACAAAGCUGAGCUGGCGAAAAACGCAAUGAACGAGGUGAUUUUGUCGGCGGGUGCCAUUGGGAGCCCGCAGCUGCUGAUGCUUAGCGGCGUGGGUCCUAUGGCUCAUCUUGUGGCUCACGGGAUUAAACCGGUGGUCUUAGACCAUCCAAUGGUCGGGCAAGGGAUGGGAGAUAAUCCGAUGAAUGCCAUCUUUAUUCCUUCUCCUACUCCCGUAGAAGUUUCUCUAAUACAAGUCGUUGGGAUCACAAAGUUUGAUAGCUACAUCGAAGGAGCUAGUGGUGUAAUCUUCUCUUAUAGUUGGACUCGUAAUUUUUUCGAUGGCGUUUUGAAUUAUUUUAACGAGGUAUAAUAAACAUAACUUUAUUAAACGUUAUUACAACUUUAUUAUUUACUAAUGAAAUAACUAUAUGCUAAUGUUUUUUUACCUUGUUUUGUUUUGACUGGGUAAGAUGCAGACAAGCCGUACUACCACUUCCACAUCACUCUCGACUCAGUCCAUCACCGACUUUUUCAAAUCCAUAAAUCCAUUCUCUUGCUGAAAAAAAAACACAAUUAGUAGAAAAUUUAUAUUAAAAAUUUAAAAUAUAAGUAAAAAAUUAGAAUACUUACCGCAAACUGACGAAACCACAGAUGCUGCUUGUCGGUAGGGAAGUGAGUGAAAGUCGGAUGUCCCUUGUCGAGGGCCGAGUACAUCAUACGGUUGAUCCAUGCGCUGAUCCCGUUCCCGGAUCGGUUGAACCUAAUAAAAAGAACAAACGGUUAAUAAUGAAUCAAAUUGUAAAGAAAAAAAAUAUAUGUUUAAUUAACAUGUUUGACCCCGUCCACGUGGAUACGGAGCGUACACUCUCUCAAAACGCUACAGUUUUGGUUCUUGAACGCGGCGGCUCGCCUUACGAUAACUCGACGGCAACUGAUAUCGGAAACUUUGCCAAAACACUCUCAAACACAUCUAAAUCGUGGUCGCAGCUUUUCGUAUCCGAAGACGGCGUCUACAACACACGUGCGCGCGUCCUCGGUGGAGGCUCGGUGCUAAACGCUGGAUUCUACACGCGUGCGGGGGAUGACUACGUGAAGGAGGCCGACUGGAUGAGCGAUGAAGUGGAAGCUGCUUACGGGUGGGUCGAGAAGAAAGUAGCGUUUAAACCUCCGAUGUUGGGAUGGCAAACCGCGUUGAAGGACGGGCUUUUGGAGGUUGGAGAGUUUCCUUACAACGGUUUCACGUACGAUCAUAUCAACGGGACCAAGAUCGGUGAUACAAUCUUUGAUGAUGCCGGUCAAAGACAUACGGCGGCGAACCUGUUGGAGUAUUCUAAUCCGAACAGCAUUGCUGUCUAUUUGCAUGCUACUGUUCACAAGAUCCUCUUCACCACCAAAGGUAUUUGAUUUUUUUUUUU